UUUGAAAGUAAGUUUGUUUUUGAACCAACGCUAUUACUUUUUGCUUUUGUACAUAAUAAAUUUUCUUGGAUGAUUCACAGUGCCAUCUAAUCCUAAAGUAAGCUUAUGAAUGUUGUAUUAUGGGUGCUAGAUAACUGAUAUAUAUUUUGUAAAUUAAAUUAUUUUUGAUAACCGUCAAAAUUAAAGUAAAAACAUCUUAUAAACAUACUAUAGUAUGAUAUUAUGAGCCCAGUACACCCAUGAAAAUUCAUCACUUAUACAUACAUAUGUUAUGUCUAGAUAUAAGUAUGUAUGUACAAUAAAAAUGUUAUUUUAGUAACUCGUGUAUCAUUUAUUAAUGUUUCUGUAUAAUUUAUAAUUUCAGCAUCAUUCUUCAGACGAUCCGCAACCUUCAACGUCAAAUAAUGCUGAUUAUCCUGUGUGCAGCCAACAAAAUACUGGUUUAAAUAAAGCACUCAAAGAAAUUCAUCACUUGCGGGACCCAAAGAUUUCCUUUUGAGACAAAUAUCUAAUUGCAAAGGCUUGCCUACAGAGAGAUGUUACAGUGAGGAAAUUAGAAAAUUCGCUUUAACGUUACAUUUUUUAUCACCAAGAGCUUACGAUUUUGUGCGCUCUCAAUAUGAUUCGUGUUUACCGCAUCCACGAACAUUGUGUAAAUGGUACCAGAAUGUGGAUGCAGAACCUGGAUUUUGCAAAGAAGCAUUCGAUGCCCUGAAAGCCAAAGUAGAGUGUAGUGAAAUCCCAUUGGUGUGUGCUUUGAUAUUAGACGAAAUGUCCAUAAGGAAAUCACUAUGUUGGGAUUCUAAAUCCCAGAAAUACCAUGGCCGUGUAAAUAUUGGCAUUGAAAAUGAAAGCGAUUCCUUGGAAGUAGCAAACCAGUCUCUUGUUUUUUUAGUUAAUUGUAUAAACGGAAAAUGGAAAUUGCCAGUAGCCUAUUUCUUGAUAACUAGUUUAAGCGGGGAACAAAAAGCUUCUCUUGUACAAACAUGCUUGCAAAAAUGUAAAGACGCUGGCGUCAAAAUCGUCAGUGUCACAUGUGACGGACCAGUCGUUAAUUUCAGUAUGUUUCAGCAUCUUGGAUGUAACUUACUACAGUAAGUAUGUAACAGCACAACUUUUAAAAGUAGACUAGUGUGUGCUACUAAAAUGAGCAUGAACUUGGCGUUCCAGAAGGUCACCAAAAAUAUGACACCUUCUGCCAAAUUAUUUACACAUAUGCAAUCCAGCCAAAGCCACAAACGACCUAGUGGACGGCGAUUCACUUUGGAGGAAAAAAUUUUGUCACUCUCGCUGUUUAAAAGAAGCCCAAAGUGCUAUUCUACACUGGAGCACGAGUUUAUAUUACCAUCAAAGAAAACGCUUCAAGGAAUUUUAGCAAAAAUGAAGUUAGAACCCGGUCUGAAUGAAAAGGUCUUUGAAAAACUGCAAAUAACAGUUCAAGAAAUGUGUAUUGAAGACCGUCUUUGCACAUUAAUUUUUGACGAAAUGUCUUUGACUCCACAAAUAAAUUACGAUAUGGCCAAUGACAGAUUGAAAGGGUUUGUAAACAUCGGUAAGGAAAACCUGAUUGCCAACCAUGUCUUAGUGUUUAUGGUUAAGGGAAUCAAAUCCAAUUUUAAGUAACCAGUGGCUUAUUACUUCACUAACAGCCUCACUAAAUUUGAUUUAAAAAAUGUAAUAGAAAACGUAAUAAAAAAAGUACAAGCCACUGGUUUAAUUAUUUUAUGCUCAGUAUGCUAUCAAAGUACUAUUAAUUUAGGAGCUAUUUCACUACUUAUACAAGAAACAAAAAAUAAGAUGUUAAAGAAAGGAAAAUAAUGGCGACACGACUUCUAUGAAAUAAAUUGUAAAAAGAUCGUACCUUUAUAUGAUGUUCCCCACUUGUUGAAAGGGCUUAGAAAUAAUUUAUUAACUAAAGACAUGAUUUAUUUUGAUAUGGACGAUGGGAAUAAAGAAAAAAUUGUUAAAUGGAAAUAUUUUCAAGAAAUUUACGAAGCCGACAAAACAUUUGGGGAACUUCGUUUAUUGAAUAAAAUAUCCGAGGAACAUAUAAAUAUUGACAAAAUUAAAAAAAUGCGUGUUAAGACAGCAGCUCAAAUAUUCAGCCAUAGUGUUGCGGUUGUGGCGGAACAUUUGACAGCUAGAGGUAUAAUAAACGAAGAGUGUCGCAAUUUGAUUAAUUUUGUUUUAACUAUAGAUAAACUAUUUGAUUAAUUAAAUAGUAACACAUUUCAUAUACCCAAUGGUAAAAUGUAUAACGCAUCCUGCGUAAGAAAAUCAUCACCCCAUCAUCGGCUCUGGAUAAAAGCUAAACAGCUUCUUAAAUCAGUUAAAUUCAUAGCAAAGAAAAAAACUGGUGAUAAAGUUUGAUUAGUAGAAACCACAGUACCAAGUACCAAUAACUUUGUCAAAACUAUUGAGGGCUUUGAAGUCGUAUGGAAUAUUUUAUUAAAAAAAUAUAGUUUUGACUGUAUGUUGACGCGGCACUUUAACCAAGACCCUAUAGAAAUUUUUUUCGGGAAUAUCCGUAAAUAAUUCCCCUAAUGUUGUAGCAUUUGAAGGUGCAUUUAAAGCCCUUCUUUUAAAUAAUUAUAACUCGCCCCAUGCUAUUAAUGCAAAUUGUGAGAAGGAUGAAAACAAAUGUCUGCAAACAUUUGAUUUCUUUUAAAAGAAAAUUCAGAAAGUAGUGUAAAAGAUAUUCCUGAAGAAAUUGAAAUUAAUGAAGAAAUGUUAACAGAAAAAGAAAUACAGCCUGAUAGGGGCCAGAGAAAUUAUGUCUGCGGUUGGGUCAUAACAAAAUGUUUGAAAAAUAUUGUAAAAGGCUGUGUCAUAUGCAAAUCAAAACUAUUAUGCAAAGAAGAAAAUAAAGAUAAAUGAAUUCAUAAAAAACAAAGAAUAUAAUAAAAUGAAGAAGUGGUUGACAUAUCCCUCCAACGAGGUAGUAAGUUAUUUCUAUGAAAUACAAGAAAAUACAAUCUCAAUAUUAAGUAAAAAUGUUCCUAAGAAAAAUUUAAAAUCAAAAAUAUUAUGGAUGACAAAAACCCUAAAUAUUUUUCCCUGUAAUUGCCCUAUACAUAAAGAUGUAUUAACAGAUUAUUUUAUAAAGACUUCCUUAAACAUAUUAAUUAAUAGUUGGUGUAGAGAAAUUAAUCGAAUUUUAUCAGGGAAAGUGUCGUAUGAAGGGGAUGAUGAAACAAAAGUUGCUGCAAAAUCAUAUUAUGAAAAACACAAGUACUGCUUAAAAAAUAAAUAGUCAUAAAAUUAUUUUGUUUUAUCAUUUAUUGUUCUACUCCCAUACUAAUAUCAUUAAACCAUUAUACGGGUUGACUUUUUAGAGUGCGCAUAUUUUGUGUUCCACGCUUGAAUGAGAAUAAAUUUUACUAAGGCACCAACAAUUAGGGAUAAUCCGAUACUAAUAAAUACGAGUAGGUACUCGAUACUUUUGAUUCGAUACCAAGUAUUUAUUGUAUCGAAUCAAUUUUGCGAUACAUAAUCGGUAUCGAAACAAAAAUACUUGGUAUCGAAUCGAAUCAGCAAAACAACCGAAAACAAUAAAAAAAACCGAGAACGCAUCAUACAGAACUGAGAGAGUAAA